ACAAGCGGUGGAGCAUGUGGUUUAAUUCGAUGCAACGCGAAGAACCUUACCAGGUCUUGACAUCCCGAUGCUAUUUCUAGAGAUAGAAAGUUACUUCGGUACAUCGGUGACAGGUGGUGCAUGGUUGUCGUCAGCUCGUGUCGUGAGAUGUUGGGUUAAGUCCCGCAACGAGCGCAACCCCUAUUGUUAGUUGCCAUCAUUCAGUUGGGCACUCUAGCGAGACUGCCGGUAAUAAACCGGAGGAAGUGGGGAUGACGUCAAAUCAUCAUGCCCCUUAUGACCUGGGCUACACACGUGCUACAAUGGUUGGUACAACGAGUUGCGAGUCGGUGACGGCGAGCUAAUCUCUUAAAGCCAAUCUCAGUUCGGAUUGUAGGCUGCAACUCGCCUACAUGAAGUCGGAAUCGCUAGUAAUCGCGGAUCAGCACGCCGCGGUGAAUACGUUCCCGGGCCUU
rnacentral:rRNA from 1 species